rnacentral:rRNA from 1 species
UACGGAGGGGGCAAGCGUUGUUCGGAAUUACUGGGCGUAAAGGGCGUGUAGGCGGCCUGGAAAGUUAGAUGCGAAAGACCAUGGCUUAACCAUGGAGUUGUAUCUAAAACUGCUGGGCUUGAGUAUAGGAGAGGAAAGUGGAAUUCCCAGUGUAGCGGUGAAAUGCGUAGAUAUUGGGAGGAACACCGGUGGCGAAGGCGGCUUUCUGGACUAAUACUGACGCUGAGGCGCGAAAGCCAGGGGAG